AGUACAGAUGGGAGCUUGCUCCCUGAUGUCAGCGGCGGACGGGUGAGUAACACGUGGGUAACCUGCCUGUAAGACUGGGAUAACUCCGGGAAACCGGGGCUAAUACCGGAUGCUUGAUUGAACCGCAUGGUUCAAUUAUAAAAGGUGGCUUCUACCUACCACUUACGAAGGAACCCCCGCCCCAUUACCUAGUUGGGAAGGUACCGCCCCACCAAGGCAACAAUCCGAACCCAACCUGAAAGGUUGACCGCCCACACGGGAACUAAAACACGCCCCAAACCCCAACGGAAGGCACCAUUAGGAAACCUCCCGCAAGGAACAAAAGCCGAACGAACCACCCCCCCGGGAUUGAUAAAGGUUUCCGAACCGAAAAAUUCUUUUGUUAGGAAAAAACAAUUACCGUUCAAAUAGGGCGGAACCUUGACGGUCCCUAACCAAAAACCCACGGCAAAUUACUUGCCACCACCCGCGUAAAUACUAAGGUGCCAACCGUUGCCCGAAAUUAUGGGCCGAAAACCCCGCCCAGGCGUUUCCUUAAUCCGAAGGUGAAACCCCCCGGUUCACCCGGGAAGGUCCAUUGAAACCGGGGAAACUUGAUUGCAAAAAAGAAAAUGGAAAUUCCACUUGAACCGUUAAAUUGCUAAAAAAUGUGAAGAACCACCAUUGCCAAAGGCAAUCCUCUGGCCGGUACCUAACCCUAAGCCGCAAAACCUUGGGAACCAAACAGAAUAAAAACCCGGGUAUCCCCCCCGUAAACAAUAAGGCUAAUGGUAAAAGGUUUCCCCCCUUUAGUGCUGCACCAACGCAUUAACCACUCCCCCGGGGAAUACGGUCCCAAGACUAAACUCAAGGAAUUGACGGGGCCCGCACAGCGGUGAACAGGUGUUUAAUUCGAACCACGCGAAAACCUUACCAGGUCUUGACUCCUCUGACACCCUAAAAAUAGGCUUCCCUUCGGGGAAAAUGACGGUGGUGCAUGUUU
rnacentral:rRNA from 1 species